GUGACUGCGUACCUUUUGUAUAAUGGGUCAGCGACUUAAUUUUAGUAGCAAGGUUAACCGUUUAGGGGAGCCGUAGGGAAACCGAGUCUUAACUGGGCGAAUUAGUUGCUAGGAUUAGACCCGAAACCGAGUGAUCUAGCCAUGGGCAGGUUGAAGGUGAGGUAACACUUACUGGAGGACCGAACCGACUAAUGUUGAAAAAUUAGCGGAUGACUUGUGGCUAGGGGUGAAAGGCCAAUCAAACUCGGAGAUAGCUGGUUCUCCCCGAAAGCUAUUUAGGUAGCGCCUCGGACGAAUACUACUGGGGGUAGAGCACUGUUAAGGCUAGGGGGUCAUCCCGACUUACCAACCCUUUGCAAACUCCGAAUACCAGUAAGUAAUAUCCGGGAGACACACGGCGGGUGCUAACGUCCGUCGUGAAGAGGGAAACAACCCAGACCGCCAGCUAAGGUCCCAAAGUUAUAGCUAAGUGGGAAACGAUGUGGGAAGGCUCAGACAGCCAGGAUGUUGGCUUAGAAGCAGCCAUCAUUUAAAGAAAGCGUAAUAGCUCACUGGUCGAGUCGGCCUGCGCGGAAGAUUUAACGGGGCUAAGCUAUACACCGAAGCUGCGGCAAU
rnacentral:rRNA from 1 species